GUCACAGUAGGUUGCAUUUCUGUCAGUGCAGCCCUGUUGGCUCAGCUCUCUGCUUCCAUCUGUGGUAUCUCAGUGCCUGCAGGUUGGCAUCCCCACAAUACUGUUCCUAUGUGCUUUUAAUGCCUCCAAAGAAAACUUCUUUGAACUACCACGUCAUCUUUCCAGUUCCCCCAGUUCCUUCCUGUUGUGCACAGAACCCUCAGUUGUUCAUCUUGGGCUCACCAUGAGCUUCAGUCAUCUCAGUCAUAAUCACGGCCCUAAAACAAGCAUAAAAUCUCUCUGGAAAAGCCAAGCUGCUCCUGGGAUAAAACUUUCCAAGGUUUCAUCAAAAGAAACCCUUCUGUGAACAAGAAUUUAAUGGGCAAGAUCAGAAGACACAAGAAAGUCAACAGUUACAUAUGAAGAGUACACAUAGAAGAUCCAGUAAUAGAUAUUAAUUUUUAUACCAAAUUUGACGCACCUCCAAGCAUAAAUAUACCAGCAGGAUUCUAUUGAAUUUUGAAGGUUAAAAGAAGGUCACAAACACACAAAUACCACAACAACUGGUACAUCUCUGCAUGUAUUCAGAUAUUCAAAACUAAAAAGCUUCAAUAUUUGUUCCAGAGUGAAUGUUUAUUACUCACAAACAUGACUUUCAGUCUCUUUUUUGAUGCCUAUACUCAAUAAGAAUUGCACUUCACACAACAACCAGUAUAGACACU
rnacentral:lncRNA from 1 species